rnacentral:tRNA from 1 species
GCUGGUUUGGCUCAGUGGGAUAGAGCGUUGGCCUGUAGACUGAAGGGUGCUGGUUCGAUUCCAGUCAAGGGCA